UUGAACGCUGGCGGCAUGCCUUACACAUGCAAGUCGAACGGCAGCACGGGAGCAAUCCUGGUGGCGAGUGGCGAACGGGUGAGUAAUAUAUCGGAACGUGCCCGGUCGUGGGGGAUAACGUAGCGAAAGCUACGCUAAUACCGCAUACGAUCUACGGAUGAAAGCGGGGGAUCGCAAGACCUCGCGCGAUUGGAGCGGCCGAUAUCAGAUUAGGUAGUUGGUGAGGUAAAAGGGCUCACCAAGCCGACGAUCUGUAGCUGGUCUGAGAGGACGACCAGCCACACUGGGACUGAGACACGGCCCCAGACUCCUACGGGAGGCAGCAGUGGGAAUUUUGGACAAUGGGCGCAAGCCUGAUCCAGCAAUGCCGCGUGCAGGAUGAAGGCCUCCGGGUUGUAAACUGCUUUUGUACGGAACGAAACGGUGAGCUCUAAUACAGUUUGCUAAUGACGGUACCGUAAGAAUAAGCACCGGCUAACUACGUG
rnacentral:rRNA from 1 species